UUUGAAUUUCAAUCAAAUCAUAUAUUAUUUACGUUUUCUGCAAUUUUAUGGUCAGAUGUCAGAUCUAAUCUCUUUUCAUAUUUAUUGGCGAGAUGUAAGAGAGUGUUCGAUUUACAUUAGCAGACAUGUAAAGCAAGGUUGGCAUAGAACCACUGAGUAGGUGAUUUACAACAUCAUUAAGAACUCACUACAUCAAUUUUCCGAUCCUAAACCACAUCUAUGAGUUACAAAAGGUAUUAAUAAGAUAUCAUGGAUACAUUAAAAUCGUAUAGAGCAAACUAAGACUACAUUACCUGGAAAGUGGCUCCAUUGUGGACAAUGUCCCGAACAGAAAGUGGCUUCAUAUCAGUNAUGUGAUACAACACCACCUAAAUACAAAGGAGCUUCAAAGUGAAACAAAACUAGGAAUAAAAUUUUGAUACAGCUUAAGCAUGGAGAGCUUAUUGUCACACUUGCAAUACCAAGCUUCCGGAUAAUACUCUAACGGCAUACUCAAUCAUAUUGUCCUUCAUGCACUCUUCGAUUUGCUCGCCACACAAUUCACGAUGGCCAACAAAGCUGCAAGAAAAGCAUUGAAUCAAUAAAAAAAAAGUCUGUGUGUUUGAAUUUCAAUCAAAUCAUAUAUUAUUUACGUUUUCUGCAAUUUUAUGGUCAGAUGUCAGAUCUAAUCUCUUUUCAUAUUUAUUGGCGAGAUGUAAGAGAGUGUUCGAUUUACAUUAGCAGACACGUAAAGCAAGGUUGGCAUAGAACCACUGAGUAGGUGAUUUACAACAUCAUUAAGAACUCACUACAUCAAUUUUCCGAUCCUAAACCACAUCUAUGAGUUACAAAAGGUAUUAGUAAGAUAUCAUGGAUACAUUAAAAUCGUAUAGAGCAAACUAAGACUACAUUACCUGGAAAGUGGCUCCAUUGUGGACAAUGUCCGAACAGAAAGUGGCUUCAUAUCAGUAACUAGCAGCUUAAGCAUCUCCUUUUGAUUUUGAGAACACAUGAGUUCUGAUUCCACCUACUAGUGCUUUUCCUUUCUUUUUUAUGUGAGAACCCUAACAGGAAUAACAACUCAAACUAAUACACUUGCUGAACCAAACAUGUUCUCUCCAUCCAUCAAAUACACAAAAUAAAAAAGAAAACGCUAAGGAACCGUGGAAAUCAGCAAGACGAUAACUUAGUGAAAAUACAUAAUCCAACAACUUAAGGGUCACCGAAAUUAUAUUUAACAAUUCUUGGAAAAUCUGCAAUUGCAUCAGCAAGAUAAGCUAUUUAAAGAAGUAUAAUUCUUAUUUUAGCAUCACCCCCUCAAAAUUCAGACAAGACAUCAACCAAUUUUAUAAAACAAAAUAUAUCUCAAAAAGACAAAAAAAAAUUGUUACGCCAAGGCAACACGGACUAGCUUCAGCAUAUCCAAGCUCUGCCAAGGCUAAUAAGGAUCUCACAAAGACCUGAAAAACUGGAAAUGACAAGAUCAACUAGAAAAUUGAACAGCUUUAAAGCAACAACUAGAAUAUAGGGCAAAUCAGUCGGCCAUAAUCAGGAUACCGCUUUAAAGCAACAUCAAAAACAUAAUUAGGAUGCUGUCAUAUAAAUCACAAAUCAUGCCCCGAAAGUUUUCUGUAUUUGAGUAGAAUUUUUGUAUUUAUUAUAUUACAAAGGCAAGACACCUAUUUAUACAAAUACUAACACAAUCAAGAUCUUAUUCUACUCCUUAUUCUAUUCCUAUAAUCAAGUCUAAUUUGCACAUGUAUGGGAAGAAAUUAUAUAGCUAUCAAUUUAUAACAUUCAGUGGCAUAAAUCAAGUUGUGUUUCCUUUAACACUCCCCCUCAAGUUGGAGUUAAGUUGGAGUGUAUGUUGAUGACACCCAACUUGUUGGGUAAGGCUUCGAAUUGUGUGGAGCUUAGGGGUUUGGUGAAUAAAUCUGCUGGCUGAUCUGUAGUUUGAAUAUAGGCCGUCGGAAUCAUUCCUUCUUGGAUCUUAUCACAUACCAAGUGACAGUCUAUCUCUAUGUGUUUGAUUCGCUCAUGGAAUACGGGGUUUGAUGCUAUGUGCAUAGCUGCUUGAUUAUCACAAAAUAAGCUAACUGGUUGCGUGUGAUUUACCCUCAAAUCCUUCAAAAUAUUUCUCAACCAUGUAACCUCACAGCAUGUGGUAUCCAUAGCACGAUAAUUUGCUUCGGCACUCGAACGGAAUACUGUAGUUUGUUUCUUGGUCUUCCAAGAAACUGGUGCUUGGCCAAGUAGAAUAUAAUAGCUUGUAGUUGAUCUCCGUGUGUCCUUGCAACGAGCCCAAUCUGUAUCACAAAAUGCUCGUAAUUGAAGCCAAACUGUGGAUGGUAAGAGGAUGCCUUGUCUUGGUGUUCGCUUGAUAUAUUUGAGCACUUUGUGAGCCGCCUCCAUGUGUGGUUCUCGUAGUUUGUCUAUAAACUGGCUCAAUACAUGGAUAGUAUAAGUCAAAUCUGGCCUUGUUAUGGUUAGGUAGAUUAACCUCCCAACCAAUCUUCUGUAUAAUGAAGCGCCAUCUAAGAGAUUUCCAUCUGAUUGUGUAAGUGACAUAUUUUGCUCUACAGGGAAUCGAGAAGGCUUAGCACCCAAGAAUCCAGUAACAUCCAAGAUUUCCAAGGCAUAUUUGCGUUGUGAUAAAGUAAUUCCAUGUCUUGAUCUUGCAACUUCUAUGCCAAGGAAAUAUUUAAGUUGCCAAAUUUAAGUUUGAAUUGCUUGGACAAGAAGAGCUUGGUGUUCUCUAUAUCCUGUAGAUUGUUUCCAUCCAAAAUCACAUCAUCAACAUAUACAAGUAAGGUUAGGAAGCUACCUUGAUGACAUCGGACGAAUAAAGAAUAAUCAGACCGAGAUUGGUGGAAGCCAGCGUACUUGAGUGCAGUGGACAAUUUUAUAAACCAUUGCCUAGAAGCCUAUUUUAAGUCAUAUAGUGAUUUGUGAAGUUUACAAACACGAGUCUCCCCCUUUCAUCCGAAACCAGGGGGCAAGGACAUGUAUACCUCUUCAUAAAGAUCUCCAUGCAUAAAGGCAUUGUUGACAUCUAAUUGAUGUAAAUGCCAACCACGCAAAGCAGCCAUAGUGAGUAAAGUACAAACAGUCACCAUUUUGGCCAUGGGAGCAAAGGUUUCCCUAUAAUCAACCCCUUCAACUUGACUGAAGCCCUUUGCCACCAACCGGGCUUUAUGCCGCUCGAUUGUCCCAUCAGCCCUCAAUUUGAUUUUAUACACCCAUUUGCAUCCAAUGGGACUCUUAUGAGAGGGCAAAGUGACUAAACUCCAAGUACUAUUUGCUUGUAAAGUUGCUAUUUCUUGCCACAUGGCCUCACGCCACUGUGGAGAUUGGACAGCUUCUCAAAAACUGUUAGGCUCUUUAAGUAAUGUGAGUUGUGGGGUAAAAGUUCUAUAAGCAGGAGAAAGGUUUUCAUAAGAUAAAAAUUGAGAUAAAGGGUGAUUUGUACCUGAAGAUUGGACCACAUUCAUGGAUGACGAUGGAGCAUUCUUUGAGGGGAGAGUCGUCUCAAUGUGAAAAUCUUGUAAAUAAGUAGGCCGUUUGGUCUGUCGAUGUAUACGACGAGAGAGAACAUUUUGUGGAGAAAAAAGAAUUAAGGCUGUCGUGUUUUGUGAGGAAGGAGAGUCUGGGGCAGUUUGGGCUGGUAGUGUGUCAAGUGGAAUAUUGAGUGGAUUGGGACUUGUUGGAUGAGGAGAAUCAUAUUUAGAUGGAGGUGGUUCUGUGGAAGGAGAGGAAGGCACGAGAGGUGGCAUUGGUGGUAUGUCAAAUGGUAAUGUGGAUACAUUAGUGAGAGGAGAGAAUUAUGAUGUGUCGGGAUGACUGGAAGGUGCAGUUGGUUGGCAACUAGUUUUGAAAGGGAAUGUGGUUUCAAAGAAAGAAACAUCCUGUGAAAUCAUGACCUUGUUUUGAACUAGAUCAAAGACACGAUAGCCCUUUUGACCAUAAGGAUAGCCAAGGAAAAUACAUUGAGAGGCUCAAGCAUCAAACUUUGAAGGGUGUUGUGCGUGAAUGGAAAUGAAACAUAAGCAACCAAAUACUUGUAAAUGUGAGUAACUUGGAACUUUGUGGAAUAAUUUCUCAUAGGGCAUUUUUCCUUGAAGGAGUGGAGUGGGUGUUCGGUUGAUUAAAUAUGUGGAAGUAAGAAUAGCAUCCCCCUAAAACUGAUGAGGAAGAUCGGCUUGAAUAAGAAUAGCUCGUGCCAUAUUUAAUAAAUAUCUGUGUUUUCGCUCGACGACACCAUUUUGUUGUGGUGUGUUGAUACAGCUGGUUUGAUGGAUUAUACCCUUAUUCGUAUAAAAGUUUUUGAGUUUGAAUUCGGCUCCAUUGUCACUACGAAUAAUUUUGACUUUGGAAUUGAAUUGAUUUUCAACAAUGUUGAUAAAUUUCAUUAGGAGGCUUUUAGUGUCUGACUUGUGUUUCAUGAGAUAAGUCCAAGUGCAUCGAGUGUGAUCAUCAACAAUGGUGAGAAAAUACUUAACGCCAGAAAUCGAAGGAAUUUUAUAACCACCCCAAAUGUCAAUAUGAAUUAAAUCAAAACACGUUGUAGAAUUAAUAGAACUAGAAGAAAAAGGAAGCCUUGUCUGUUUGGCAAAUGGACAAAUCAAGCAUAGAUCGGUAGCACAAGAUGUAACUGUGAAAUUAGGAAAAUGAAAUAAUGAAGAUACUUUAUUCGAGGGGUGUCCAAGACGUUGGUGCCAAAGGGUCAGAUUAGAUGUCUGGAUAUGAUGGCAUGAUUCUUUCUAGGUUCGGUCCAGAUAGUAGAGGCCCUCCCGUUCAAUUCUUGUCCCAAUCGUCUUCCCCGAGCGUAGGUCCUAAAUGAAACAAACUUGGCUUAGAAAAAUGGUUACACAAUAUGAAUGAGAAGCUAACUUGCUAAUAGAAAUCAGAUUUAAUCGAAAAUAUGGUACACAUAACACAUUUUCGAGAAUUAAGUGAGGAGAUAAAACAACUUUGCCUAUGUGAGUUACUGGAGCCAUGAAACCAUUUAGUAAUUCGACAGUGUGGUUAUGAAUAGGUUUUGAAUGGGUGAGCAAGUGAGGAUUACAAACCAUAUGAUCGGUGCAUCCACUGUCCAAAAUCCACGUAGCUUUUGUGCCAUUAGAAAUUAAUGGAAAGUUUUACCUGACAGUUCAUCGUGAGUGGAGCAAUUACCCACUUGAUUGCCAGAAGAAGAUUUGUUUUUCAACAUGUUGAGAAUCUGCUGGCACUCAUUUACUGAAAAAGGGAAAUUCAUCCCCCUCUCAUUGGUCAAGUGAGAUUUGGCCUGAUUCCCUUUUUAAACCAAUGUAUUAAAUUUAGAUUCUGCUAUCCUUUUCUUCCUGCAAUACUCGAUGGAAUGCCCCUUCCAACCGUAAAAAUCACAUUUAAGAUGGGCAUGACAAUUCUUGGUGGUGUGAAUGGUUCUGUUACACUUAAAGCAUUUCUUUUCACCCUUCUCUUCAGGUUCACGAUGGGAAUUUUUUACUGCAAAAACAGCUGCUUCCGGUUGAUUAUGGCUUUUCCUUGUCGUGACCUCCAAGUUUUUCUCAUGACGAAGAACUAACGAGUAUGCUUUGUUCACCGCAGGCAAUGGAUCUUGUAAUAGAACAUUGCUUCGAACACCUCCAUAGGAUUCAUUAAGUCCCAUAAGGAAUUUCAUAGCUUUCUGUGUUUCUAUAUAUGCAGCCAUUUCCUUCACUGAUUCACAGGUGCAUGCUAGUAAUGCGGCUAAUUUGUCACGUUCAUCCCAUAAACCCUUCAAUUUCGUGAAGUAAGAUCCUACAGUCAUGUUCUCUUGGACACAAUCAUGGAUCUCAUUCUCCACAUUAAAUAAUUGGAUGGCGUUUACAUGUGAGAAUCAUUCCUGCAAAUCAAGCCACAUCUUUCUAGCAUCCUUGCAAUUGAUAACACUAUUGGCAAUCUCCUAGGACAUAGAUCCCAGUAGCCAAGUUUUAACCAAGUUGUUGCAACGGUUCCAUUGUUGCAGUUCAUCCGCAGCGCUCGCAUCAGGCUCCUUGAUUGAGCCGUCUACAAACCCGACCUUGUUUUUUACCGUUAAGGCCAUAACCAUGGAUUGACUCCAUGUGCUAUAAUUGUCCUCAGCCAAUGGUUGUGGCACAAGGAUGGUGCCAGGCUGAUCGGAAUGGCGAUGGUAAAGUUGGUGGUUGGGAAAGUCCCAUUUUUACUCAAGACCAUGCUUCCUACUAUGUCUGCUAUGGAAGUCGACUGGAGCUUUAAAACAGAAUUCUGGUGCCUAGAUUAUAAGGCUCUGAUACCAUGAAAGUUUUCUAUAUUUGAGUAGAAUUUUUGUAUUGAUUAUAUUACAAAGGCAAGACACCUAUUUAUACAAAUUCUAACACAAUCAAGAUCUUAUUCUACUCCUUAUUCUAUUCCUAUAAUCAAGUCUAAUUUGCACAUGUAUGGGAAGAACUUAUAUAGCUAUCAAUUUAUAACAUUUAGUGGCAUAAAUCAAGUUGUGUUUCCUUUAACAUGCCCAUCUAAUUACUAAAGCAGCAACCAGAAUAUAGGGCAAAUCAAAAGAACAAAAAUUAAAUAAGGAAAAAUGAGUGACAGGUUCGGGGAAUCGAUUCAGGGCUAAGGGCUUUACCUUCAUCUUCAGUUAUUCUACUGCAGCUGAAGAAUCACCGACAUCAGGCGGUCAGGACCGCAUCUGCUUUUGCUGCUACCGUAACCGUUGCCGCUCAAAUCAAAUAAACAGGACCAGAUGGAGAGCAGGUGAGGCGAGUAGCAAUGGAAAAUGAGAAGUCUGGCUCUGGAAGGUGGAGACGGAGACAGCGACGCUGAAACUGGAAGGAGUAGGCAGCGGUGGGGGCCGAGAAAGUAGUGGAUGGAAUGGGAUUG
rnacentral:lncRNA from 1 species